AGCGAACGCUGGCGGCAGGCUUAACACAUGCAAGUCGAGCGGGCCUUUCGGGGUCAGCGGCGGACGGGUGAGUAACGCGUGGGAACGUGCCCUCUGGUUCGGAAUAACUCAGGGAAACUUGAGCUAAUACCGGAUACGCCCUUUUGGGGAAAGGCUUGCUGCCGGAGGAUCGGCCCGCGUCUGAUUAGCUAGUUGGUGAGGUAACGGCUCACCAAGGCGACGAUCAGUAGCUGGUCUGAGAGGAUGAUCAGCCACACUGGGACUGAGACACGGCCCAGACUCCUACGGGAGGAAGAAGUGGGGAAUAUUGGACAAUGGGCGCAAGCCUGAUCCAGCCAUGCCGCGUGAGUGAUGAAGGCCUUAGGGUUGUAAAGCUCUUUUAUCCGGGACGAUAAUGACGGUACCGGAGGAAUAAGCCCCGGCUAACUUCGUG
rnacentral:rRNA from 1 species